GGGGUACAUGGAAAACUCCAUUUCCUACAGUGCUAUCGAAGAUGUUCAACUGCUCUCCUGGGAGAACGCCCCUAAGUACUGUUUACAGCUCACAAUCCCGGGGGGUACUGUCUUACUACAGGCUGCAAACAGUUACCUGAGGGAUCAGUGGUUCCAUUCUUUGCAGUGGAAG